UCCUUUCUAAAUAAGUCACCUUUCUUUCAAUUAACCACAUAUCAAUUUGGUUUACUUUUUUUCGGAUUCAGUUAACUUUCAUCGGAGCUUUAGACAUGAAUACACUAAAAAUUUGUUAAUUAUGGUGCGACGGAAAGAAAAUUAUUUGGAAACCAAGCUGUGCUAGCUACUGACACUGAUAACUGCAAAGAAAUGCUAAAUGUAACGUGGACUUAAUCGAUGGCUACGGGUUAGUUAAUCAUUUUCCCUUGGACGAUCGUCCUCAGUUUUGGGAAGCUUUUCCGGUCCAGGAGGAAGGAUAAGCCUGUCAGCGAAAAUAGGACAGGAUCAAAGGAACGAAGUGUUCUUCGACUCUCAACCUGUCAGGAGGAUAUACUGAUCGGUUGCCGAUACCACUUCCUGCCAAAGAAAGCGAGGAAAUGAAAGAUAUCCUCAAUUUGGAGUGCCACGAAAAGGAUUUUGAGUCUGAUGAAGAGAAAGGGUUCCUGGAAUUGCCGUUCUAUAAGGAGGUCCCCGGCUUUUCAUCCGACGAAAAAGAGUGGUUGCCCAAUUUCCACUCCAAUGAGGAGGUCUUUCCCGAUUCGCCAUCCGAUAAAGAGGAGUUGGUUCUUAUUUGAAGGUCCAAGAGCCAAAGGAAAAGUUCCCGUUUUGCUGCUUGACCAUUAGGAAUCCCAGUUUUGCCAGAGAAGUCUGCAUCGACUUGCAGUCCGUCGAAAAAAGUCCAGGUGUCAAAAUUAAGAAAUAAAAAUUUGUUCUAGAAACUAA